rnacentral:rRNA from 1 species
UACGAAGGGGGCUAGCGUUGCUCGGAAUUACUGGGCGUAAAGGGCGCGUAGGCGGCACUGUUAGUCAGGCGUGAAAGUCCUGGGCUCAACCUGGGAACUGCGCUUGAUACGGCAGAGCUAGAGGAUGGAAGAGGGUCGCGGAAUUCCCAGUGUAGAGGUGAAAUUCGUAGAUAUUGGGAAGAACACCGGUGGCGAAGGCGGCCAUCUGGACGACAACUGACGCUGAGACGCGAAAGCGUGGGGAGCAAACAGG